rnacentral:rRNA from 1 species
AUCAUUUAAAGAGUGCGUAAUAGCUCACUAGUCGAGUGACACUGCGCCGAAAAUGUACCGGGGCUAAACAUAUUACCGAAGCUGUGGAUUGUCCUUUGGACAAUGGUAGGAGAGCGUUCUAAGGGCGUCGAAGCAUGAUCGCAAGGACAUGUGGAGCGCUUAGAAGUGAGAAUGCCGGUGUGAGUAGCGAAAGACGGGUGAGAAUCCCGUCCACCGAUUGACUAAGGUUUCCAGAGGAAGGCUCGUCCGCUCUGGGUUAGUCGGGUCCUAAGCUGAGGCCGACAGGCGUAGGCGAUGGAUAACAGGUUGAUAUUCCUGUACCACCUAGUAUCGUUUUAAUCGAUGGGGGGACGCAGUAGGAUAGGCGAAGCGUGCUGUUGGAGUGCACGUCCAAGCAGUAAGGCUGAGUGUUAGGCAAAUCCGGCACUCAUAAGGCUGAGCUGUGAUGGGGAGAGGAAAUUGUUUCCUCGAGUCGUUGAUUUCACACUGCCGAGAAAAGCCUCUAGAUAGAUAACAGGUGCCCGUACCGCAAACCGACACAGGUAGUCAAGAUGAGAAUUCUAAGGUGAGCGAGCGAACUCUCGUUAAGGAACUCGGCAAAAUGACCCCGUAACUUCGGGAGAAGGGGUGCUCUUUAGGGUUCACGCCCAGAAGAGCCGCAGUGAAUAGGCCCAAGCGACUGUUUAUCAAAAACACAGGUCUCUGCUAAACCGUAAGGUGAUGUAUAGGGGCUGACGCCUGCCCGGUGCUGGAAGGUUAAGAGGAGUGGUUAGCUUCUGCGAAGCUACGAAUCGAAGCCCCAGUAAACGGCGGCCGUAACUAUAACGGUCCUAAGGUAGCGAAAUUCCUUGUCGGGUAAGUUCCGACCCGCACGAAAGGCGUAACGAUUUGGGCACUGUCUCAACGAGAGACUCGGUGAAAUCAUAGUACCUGUGAAGAUGCAGGUUACCCGCGACAGGACGGAAAGACCCCGUGGAGCUUUACUGUAGCCUGAUAUUGAAAUUCGGCACAGCUUGUACAGGAUAGGUAGGAGCCUUUGAAACGUGAGCGCUAGCUUACGUGGAGGCGUUGGUGGGAUACUACCCUAGCUGUGUUGGCUUUCUAACCCGCACCACUUAUCGUGGUGGGAGACAGUGUCAGGCGGGCAGUUUGACUGGGGCGGUCGCCUCCUAAAAGGUAACGGAGGCGCUCAAAGGUUCCCUCAGAAUGGUUGGAAAUCAUUCAUAGAGUGUAAAGGCAUAAGGGAGCUUGACUGCGAGACCUACAAGUCGAGCAGGGUCGAAAGACGGACUUAGUGAUCCGGUGGUUCCGCAUGGAAGGGCCAUCGCUCAACGGAUAAAAGCUACCCCGGGGAUAACAGGCUUAUCUCCCCCAAGAGUUCACAUCGACGGGGAGGUUUGGCACCUCGAUGUCGGCUCAUCGCAUCCUGGGGCUGUAGUCGGUCCCAAGGGUUGGGCUGUUCGCCCAUUAAAGCGGUACGCUAGCUGGGUUCAGAACGUCGUGAGACAGUUCGGUCCCUAUCCGUCGUGGGCGUAGGAAAUUUGAGAGGAGCUGUCCUUAGUACGAGAGGACCGGGAUGGACAUACCUCUGGUGUACCAGUUGUCGUGCCAACGGCAUAGCUGGGUAGCUAUGUAUGGACGGGAUAAGUGCUGAAAGCAUCUAAGCAUGAAGCCCCCCUCAAGAUGAGAUUUCCCAACUUCGGUUAUAAGAUCCCUCGAAGAUGACGAGGUUAAUAGGUUCGAGGUGGAAGCGUGGUGACACGUGGAGCUGACGAAUACUAAUCGAUCGAAGACUUAAUCAAUUUUUAAA